GACAGAGGGUGCAAACGUUGCUCGGAAUCACUGGGCGUAAAGGGCGUGUAGGCGGGACGGUAAGUCGGGCGUGAAAUCCCUAGGCUCAACCUAGGAACUGCACUCGAAACUACCAUUCUUGAGUGUCGGAGAGGAAAGCGGAAUUCCUGGUGUAGAGGUGAAAUUCGUAGAUAUCAGGAGGAACACCAGUGGCGAAGGCGGCGCCCUGGCUCGCAACUGACGCUCAGACACGACAGCAUGGGGAGCGAACGGG
rnacentral:rRNA from 1 species